rnacentral:rRNA from 1 species
UACAUGCAAGUCGAACGCGUCUUGGUUAAAGAUUUUAGGUGCUUGCAUUUAAAUGAUUUAACAUUGAGACGAGUGGCGAACUGGUGAGUAACACGUGGGUAACCUGCCCUUGAAGUAGGGGAUAACACUUGGAAACAGGUGCUAAUACCGUAUAACAACUCAAACCACAUGGUUUGAGUUUGAAAGAUGGCUUCGGCUGUCACUUUAGGAUGGACCCGCGGCGUAUUAGCUUGUUGGUGAGGUAACGGCUCACCAAGGCAAUGAUACGUAGCCGACCUGAGAGGGUAAUCGGCCACAUUGGGACUGAGACACGGCCCAAACUCCUACGGGAGGCAGCAGUAGGGAAUCUUCCACAAUGGACGAAAGUCUGAUGGAGCAACGCCGCGUGAGUGAUGAAGGGUUUCGGCUCGUAAAACUCUGUUGUUGGAGAAGAACAGGUGUGAGAGUAACUGUUCACAUCUUGACGGUAUCCAACCAGAAAGCCACGGCUAACUACGUGCCAGCAGCCGCGGUAAUACGUAGGUGGCAAGCGUUGUCCGGAUUUAUUGGGCGUAAAGCGAGCGCAGGCGGUUUUUUAGGUCUGAUGUGAAAGCCUUCGGCUUAACCGGAGAAGUGCAUCGGAAACCGGGAGACUUGAGUGCAGAAGAGGACAGUGGAACUCCAUGUGUAGCGGUGAAAUGCGUAGAUAUAUGGAAGAACACCAGUGGCGAAGGCGGCUGUCUGGUCUGUAACUGACGCUGAGGCUCGAAAGCAUGGGUAGCGAACAGGAUUAGAUA